AUUAAACGCUGGCGGCAUGCCUUACACAUGCAAGUCGAACGGCAGCACGGGGGCGACCCUGGUGGCGAGUGGCGGACGGGUGAGUAAUGCAUCGGAACGUAUCGAUGAGAGGGGGGAUAACGUAGCGAAAGUUACGCUAAUACCGCAUAUUCUGUGAGCAGGAAAGCAGGGGAUCGGAAGACCUUGCGCUCGUUGAGCGGCCGAUGUCGGAUUAGCUAGUUGGUGGGUAACUGCCUACCAAGGCGACGAUCCGUAGCGGGUCUGAGAGGAUGAUCCGCCACACUGGGACUGAGACACGGCCCAGACUCCUACGGGAGGCAGCAGUGGGGAAUUUUGGACAAUGGGCGCAAGCCUGAUCCAGCCAUGCCGCGUGAGUGAAGAAGGCCUGGUGUAAG
rnacentral:rRNA from 1 species